rnacentral:lncRNA from 1 species
AAUGCUAACGUCACCCUCUGUAGUACCAGAACCAAGCCUCAUCUAUUAAUAUUUCCCUUUCUCUUCUGGAGUGGUAUGGCAGGAAAGGAGGAGGAUAGGAAUGGAAUCAGGGUUUGGCAUGCCCUAGACACUGUUGCAGAGAGGUUCUUUGCUAUUGGAAAUACUUUCUCAAAUCUGUGCAAACAGAUUGUACAAUGCAGUUCUGUUCCUCAGAAUUCUAUCUAGGAGGAUCUAUACCCAAAAUUACAAUCAAUCCUUUGUUACUGUAUUUCCUUGAAUAAAAGACCAUCACAUUUAAGAAGCAUCACUAUAGCAUUAAGAAAGGCAAAUUCCACACAUAGUUUCAGAGAUAUUAAUAUUUGAAAAGAUACGUAUCUUAAAAAUAAAUGCAAUACAGUAAUUACAUCUUUGGUCUUUAUUCAUUCCUUCUGUGUUUUGUUGUUGUUGUUGUUUGUUUUGGUUUUUUUUUGUUUUUUUGAGACGGAGUUUUGCUCUUGUUGCCCAGGCUGGAGUACAAUGGUGUGAUCUCG